rnacentral:sRNA from 1 species
GGAAAUACUUGAGGUUAUUACAUACUAGAUUAGCUUCUAAUGUGAACCAUUUUUCUUUUAACAGUGAUAAAUUAUUAUUUCCGAAGCUAACUGUUCCCUUGGUCGUGAUACACACUCGAUUAACAAACAUACUGUUGUAUUUUUUCCAGUUUUGUUUGGCUAUGCCACCACAGUCAUCCCCAGGGUCUAUACAUACUAUGUUUCAACUGUAUUAUUUGCCAUUUUUGGCAUUAGAAUGCUUCGGGAAGGCUUAAAGAUGAGCCCUGAUGAGGGUCAAGAGGAACUGGAAGAAGUUCAAGCUGAAUUAAAGAAGAAAGAUGAAGAAUUUCAACGAACCAAACUUUUAAAUGGACCGGGAGAUGUUGAAACGGAAAACACUGGACACACUGAAGUGGGCCACAGCAUUCCUUCAUAUGCAAGACUGUUUUACAUCUGAUAAUUCGGCUGCUCUCUAAAAUUGGCCUUCUCCCAGUUCCUGCUACCUGCAGGACCCCUAUGGUGUAGCCGUGGGUGGAACUGUGGGGCACUGCCUGUGCACGGGAUUGGCAGUAAUUGGAGGAAGAAUGAUAGCACAGAAAAUCUCUGUCAGAACUGUGACAAUCAUAGGAGGCAUCGUUUUUUUGGCGUUUGCAUUUUCUGCACUAUUUAUAAGCCCUGAUUCUGGUUUUUAACAAGCUGUUUGUUCAUCUAUAUUUAGUUUAAAAUAGGUAGUAUUAUCUUUCUGUACAUAGUGUACAUUACAACUAAAAGUGAUGG